AUUGAACGCUGGCGGCAGGCCUAACACAUGCAAGUCGAGCGGAGCGGCGGACGGGUGAGUAAUGCCUAGGAAUCUGCCUGGUAGUGGGGGAUAACGUCCGGAAACGGGCGCUAAUACCGCAUACUCUCAGAUGAGCCUAGGUCGGAUUAGCUAGUUGGAGGGGUAAAGGCCUACCAAGGCGACGAUCCGUAACUGGUCUGAGAGGAUGAUUAGUCAAACUGGAAUGGGGAAAAGGUCCAGACUCCUACGGGAGGCAGCAGGGGGUAAUAUUGGACAAUGGGGGAAAGCCUGAUCCAGCCAGGCCGGGUGGGGGAAGAAGGUCUUCGGAUUGUAAAGUACUUUAAGUUGGGAGGCGUUACCAACAGAAUAAGCACCGGCUAACUUCGUGCCAGCAGCCGCGGUAAUAC
rnacentral:rRNA from 1 species